CACCAAAGAAGUCGCCCUGCCCAUGCCAUGGUGGUGGUGUUGGAUGUGAAGCCCAAGCCGGUCCAAGUCUUCUUCCGCGGUCCAGAAACCAGAUCUGAACCCCUCCCCUCUCGCUGCGUCCCUCCCUCCUUCAGAUCCAGUCUUCCCCCUCCCCUUCUUCUUCUUCUUCUCGCGAAGAGAAGCGAGGGACGAUGGGGAGCAAAUAGAGAAGCCACAGAUCUCAUCUCGAUCCCCCGUCGACGCCUCCGUCUCCUCCCCCCCGUCGACGCCUCCGUCUCCUCCCCCCCGUAGUCGCCUCUCCACUCCCAGAUCUGACCGGUGUCCCUUGAAUUCGGGGGGAAUGGCUUCCGCGGAAGCCGAUUCCCGCGUCGCCCUCCUCCUCGUCCCCGCCCUCGAGAAGAUCGUCAAGAAUGCGUCCUGGCGCAAGGGCCACUCCAAGCUCGCCCACCAGUGCAAGUCCCUCAUCGACCGCCUCUCCCACCCGCCUUCCUCCCCGCCACCGUCCUCCCCCAACUCCUCCUCCUCCCUCCCCGGGCCCCUCCGCGACGGCGGCGCUGCCGUCUACUCCCUCGCCGAUUCCGAGACCUACCUCGCGC
rnacentral:lncRNA from 1 species